CACUGCCCUUUUGUAGUAGGUAGCGAUAUGGCCACUGAGGGCGCAGCUGAGACGCGCGUUCAACAGGAAAAUAGUACCUACGCAAAACAAAAGCUGGGUAAUGAUCGGCACGCACAGCAGUGUUGGAUACAGAAUCAGAUUCAGUGCAAGCCCUCUGCUACAGCACAUUUACAGCGAGCUGGUAGCGCGCGCUACCCGAACGCUUACUUCCUACUAUGUUUUCCAAAAACUCUCAAACCGGAUAACAGUGUUGCCCGAUAUUUCUUGCUUUGGUCGCUUAUGCCCCUCAUCACUGCAAAGGGAAAUGACAUGGAGAGUCCAAGAAAGAUCCAUAACGCUGACAAACCACCCUCUGAGACUCAACUCGGUGAGUAUCCAAGCAGCUUCUGUUUUUCUUUCACAUCCUGCGAAAGUCAACAGGAUUGUGAGGAGCUUUUGAAAGGCACCAAAAUCCCACUGAAAUAA
rnacentral:lncRNA from 1 species